GUAAGAGAAUUGACGUUAGUAGAUCAACUAUCUAACAUGUCAUAUUAUGUUUCUAAAACUCAGGUGGCUUGUAGAUUACAUGAUGGAGCUUGGGUUCUUCAAAUCACUUUCCCAGUGGGUUGGCAAUAACCUUAUGAAAUCUGGGGACCAUGAAACAUGGGCUUUUGAUCUCCAAGGUGCUGUUGAUAUGUUCAAUUCAUACAGGUUUCAGUUGGUGAUAUUGUGGUGACUCCAAUUUGAAUCAAUCAAUUUAUUCCAAUUUGUUCUUUUGAAGCUACUUCAGGUCAGAGCAGAAAAAUAUAAUUUUUCUGGAAUCAAUGAAUUUUGAAUCUAGGAAAAUCAACACUUGUGGUGGUGUUGAUGGUGGAGGUGCAGGUUUUGGAGGAGGAUGAGGAGGCAGUGGUGGUACUGGAUCAGAUUUGGAAGAUAAUUUGUAUUUGGAGUUAGUGGUGGUGUUUUGGUAUGAAGCUGAGAGGUUUGGUAUGGAUGUUAGAGCUGUGUUAGACAUUGUUUCAGAUAACUUCAUAAAAGCUAAUUGCUUAAACGUGGUAAUGAUCUCGCUGGAACUGGA